rnacentral:rRNA from 1 species
UACGAGUGCCCCAAGCGUUAUCCGGAAUCAUUGGGCGUAAAGGGUGUGUAGGCGGUUUUGUUAGUCUUCUGUCAAAUUCUUCGGCUCAACCGGGGGUCCGCAGGAGAAACGGCAAAACUAGAGGAUGUGAGAGGUGAAUGGAACUCAUGGUGUAGGGGUGAAAUCCGUUGAUAUCAUGGGGAACACCAAAAGCGAAGGCAAUUCACUGGCACACUCCUGACGCUAAAACACGAAAGCGUGGGUAGCGAAUGGG